GACGAACGCUGGCGGCGUGCUUAACACAUGCAAGUCGAACGGAAAGGCCCUGCUUUUGUGGGGUGCUCGAGUGGCGAACGGGUGAGUAACACGUGAGUAACCUGCCCUUGACUUUGGGAUAACUUCAGGAAACUGGGGCUAAUACCGGAUAGGAGCUCCUGCUGCAUGGUGGGGGUUGGAAAGUUUCGGCGGUUGGGGAUGGACUCGCGGCUUAUCAGCUUGUUGGUGGGGUAGUGGCUUACCAAGGCUUUGACGGGUAGCCGGCCUGAGAGGGUGACCGGCCACAUUGGGACUGGGAUACGGCCCAGACCCCUACGGGGGGCAGGGGGGGGGAAUAUUGCACAAGGGGCGGACGCCUGAUGCAGCAACGCCGCGUGCGGGAUGACGGCCUUCGGGUGGUAAACCGCUUUCGCCUGUGACGAAGCGUGGGUGACGGUAAUGGGUAAAGAAGCACCGGCUAACUACGU
rnacentral:rRNA from 1 species